rnacentral:rRNA from 1 species
ACGUAGGAGGCAAGCGUUAUUCGGAUUUACUGGGCGUAAAGCGCGUGCAGGCGGUUCGGAAAGUUGGAUGUGAAAGCUCCUGGCUUAACUGGGAGAGGGCGUUCAAUACUUCCUAACUUGAGUGUGGGAGAGGGAGGUGGAAUUCCGGGUGUAGCGGUGGAAUGCGUAGAUAUCAGGAGGAACACCGGAGGCGAAAGCGGCCUCCUGGCCCAUAACUGACGCUCAGCCGCGAAAGUGAGGGUAGCAAACAG